GAUGAACGCUGGCGGCGUGCCUAAUACAUGCAAGUCGAACGCAUUGAGAGAAGUGCUUGCACUUUUCAAUUUGAGUGGCGAACGGGUGAGUAACACGUGGGCAACCUACCUGAUAGCGGGGGAUAACGAGUGGAAACAUUCGCUAAUACCGCAUAACAAUAGAGAAGGCAUCUUCUUUAUUUAAAAGGCGCUUUCAAGCGUCACUAUCAGAUGGGCCCGCGGUGCAUUAGUCAGUUGGUGGGGUGAAGGCCUACCAAGACGAUGAUGCAUAGCCGAGUUGAGAGACUGAUCGGCCACAUUGGGACUGAGACACGGCCCAAACUCCUACGGGAGGCGGCAGUAGGGAAUCUUCCACAAUGGACGAAAGUCUGAUGGAGCAACGCCGCGUGUGUGAUGAAGGCUUUCGGGUCGUAAAGCACUGUUGUAUGGGAAGAAAUGCUAGGCUAGGAAAUGAGCUUAGUUUGACGGUACCAUACCAGAAAGGGACGGCUAAAUACGUGCCAGCAGCCGCAGUAA
rnacentral:rRNA from 1 species